rnacentral:tRNA from 1 species
GCCCUCGUAGUAUAAA